UUCCACGUAUGCUUUAAUUAAAACUUAAAAAGCAUUAUGAAUAUGAGUUUGUCAGCCUUAUAUAUUGCCUGCCACUCAUCCUUCCGUUAUAUUGAAUAUUCUAUUCUAUCUGAUUUCUCUGAGACACAUAGAUUGAUGAUGAAGCAGCAAAGCUUGGAAGCUCCGCUAUUGGCCACAGAAAACAGGAAAAGGUGGACAAGAGCUCUGUGGUUCUUAGUUCCAUUCAUCACCCUGUUAAGUGUCAGGGGUUGUGGUAUGACAUGCAUUAUGGUUAUGAUGACUUACAGUAUGGUGUCAGGGAUUGUGGUAUGGCAUGCAUUAUGGUUAUGAUGACUUACAGUAUGGUAAGUAUAGAGUUGGUGUACUUUAUACAAAAUUCUGGACUUCAUUAUUGUACUUCAGAAAAGACUUUGCAUUACCAUGUGUCAAGGGUUGUGGUAUGGCAUGCAUUAUAAUUAUGAUGACUUACAGUAUGGUAAGGAUAGAGUUGGUGUACUUUAUACAAAAUUCUGGACUUCAUUAUUGUACUUCAGAAAAGACUUUGCCUUACCAUGUGUCAGGGGUUGUGGUAUGGCAUGCAUUAUGGUUAUGAUGACUUACAGUAUGGUGUCAGGGGUUGUGGUAUGGCAUGCAUUAUGGUUAUGAUGACUUACAGUAUGGUAAGGAUAGAGUUGGUGUACUUUAUACAAAAUUCUGGACUUCAUUAUUGUACUUCAGAAAAGACUUUGCCUUACCAUGUGUCAGGGGUUGUGGUAUGGCAUGCAUUAUGGUUAUGAUGACUUACAAUAUGGUAAGGAUAGAGUUGGUGUACUUUAUACAAAAUUCUGGACUUCAUUAUUGUACUUCAGAAAAGACUUUGCCUUACCAUGUGUCAGGGGUUGUGGUAUGGCAUGCAUUAUGGUUAUGAUGACUUACAGUAUGGUAAGGAUAGAGUUGGUGUACUUUAUACAAAAUUCUGGACUUCAUUAUUGUACUUCAGAAAAGACUUUGCCUUACCAUGUGUCAGGGGUUGUGGUAUGGCAUGCAUUAUGGUUAUGAUGACUUACAGUAUGGUAAGGAUAGAGUUGGUGCACUUUAUACAAAAUUCUGGACUUCAUUAUUGUACUUCAGAAAAGACUUUGCCUUACCAUGUGUCAGGGAUUGUGGUAUGGCAUGCAUUAUGGUUAUGAUGACUUACAGUAUGGUAAGGAUAGAGUUGGUGUACUUUAUACAAAAUUCUGGACUUCAUUAUUGUACUUCAGAAAAGACUUUGCCUUACCAUCUUUUCUCUCCCCCUACUCUCUUUAUCAGUGACGAUAAAGAACAUGAGGAUUGUGUUAUUCACUACAAAAUUGGUAACUUUAACUAUAAGCGAGAAGGGCUCCCAAGUUUUGGUCAUGUUUUACUGUUCAAAAUGGUUCCAAAACGACUACUUUUUGUGUCAGGGGUUGUGGUAUGGCAUGCAUUAUGGUUAUGAUGACUUACAGUAUGGUAAGGAUAGAGUUGGUGUACUUUAUACAAAAUUCUGGACUUCAUUAUUGUACUUCAGAAAAGACUUUGUCUUACCAUCUUUUCUCUCCCCCUACUCUCUUUAUCAGUGACGAUAAAGAACAUGAGGAUUGUGUUAUUCACUACAAAAUUGCAAAAUGGUUAGAGAAGUAAAGCUAAUCAAGGAUAUUCAAGCUCAACAAAGAGGUUGGACAGUAAAAGUGGUGAUUAUUGAGAAAGCAAUGCCACGAGUUUCUAAAUCAAGUCCAAACAAAUAUCAAAGGUUAAUCUUAGCUGAUGAAGAAGGUAAUAAGAUCCAGGCCACAAUAUAUGGUGGAGACAUCCACAUCUUCCGAGACACACUCAUAAUUGGGAAAAAUUAUUAUAUUUCUAAUGCUUGGGUUAAAGAAAUUGGUGCACAAUAUCAGAUUGUUCAAAAUAAUUUGCGAUGGACUAUAAAUGGUCGAACCAUUGUGGAAGAAGUGACUCGAGAUUCAGAGAUAAUUGUGCCUGCUGUUUACAGCUUUGUCCCGUUCUCACGACUACACACUUAUAUUGACUCUCUAUCCCACGUCGGUAUGUUUGUCUAUAUAGUCAAUUUGUUCAGCUAUAUUUUUAUAACUUUUCAUUUGUGAAUCUUUCUUUUUUUUAGGAUUCUGUUAAAGAUAUUGAAAAAAUUGCCACAUUAUCCAGUAGUCAUAAGCUUCUAAUUCAAGUUAAAGCAUCUAAACAUGAAUAUUGUGAUAUUACAAGAUGGAAAUACACAAUCCUUUCUGUUUGUGAUACUAUUUCAAAAGAAAUCAACACAUUAACACAAACAGAUACUUCAAAUGAUGCUGAAGUUAGUCAAGUUUUAGAAAUUGUUGAAGAGCAAAGUGGAAAAUCAUUAGGCAUAACUGAAUUGAGAGGUAUGAACAUGUUUGAUACAUUAUAUCCUAAGUGAAAUUACAUGAGCUUUUAUUUAAUGUUCUAAUGCAUAUAUAUUACAACUUUCAAAAUCAGAUAUAUCUGGAAGUGCUGACAAUGCUAAGAUAGAGCAAAUGAGCAAUGAAGAUAAAGUUCUAGCUGAUUUGGUUUCAAAGCCUACUGCAAGAAACAAUGCAACAAAGAAACUAAAGCUGAUGAUUUCCAAAAGUGCAGAUGAGGCAGAUCCAAUAGCGCUGAAUCUUGAAAGUUCUCAUUUACAAUUUGGUGAAGGGAGUAGGAAGCAGUUUGCCGAGCUUAAAGACAAUGCUUAAUUUGUUAUCAUGGGAACCAUCUUUUUGUUAAUGUGGACAUGAUAGAUUACUAUCAGUUCAUAAGUAGAUUAUUAUCAGUCUUUUGUGAAUUUAUAGCAUAUUUAGACUAUACUAUGACAGUUACAUUAAUAUUAUUAUUUUGUACAUUGCAAGAUGUAAUAGAAAUUGAUUUAGGUAUAACCUAAUACAUGAUGCCCCAUGUCGAAAUUCGAAUU